rnacentral:rRNA from 1 species
AUGUAUGUCUUGGCUCCUCACACAAUGAAGAACGUUGCUAAUGUGAUAAGUAACUGGAGUUGCGAACAUUGUGACAAGUUAAUCUUUGAAUGCAAAUUGCGCAUACCUGAAUUUAUUCAGAUGCAUAUAUAUUCUAGUACUACAUCUUUUAAUAAUUCUUCUUAUAAAAGAAGCAAAUAACUAAAAGCAAACACGUAGUCUGGGAUAUGUAGGAGAACCCGCUGAACUGAAGCAUCUCAAUAAGCGGAGGAAAAGAAACUAAAUAAUUUUU